GAUCAUGGCUCAGGAUGAACGCUAGCGGCAGGCUUAACACAUGCAAGUCGAGGGGCAGCAUAAUGGAUAGCAAUAUCUAUGGUGGCGACCGGCGCACGGGUGCGUAACGCGUAUGCAACCUACCUUUAACAGGGGGAUAACACUGAGAAAUUGGUACUAAUACCCCAUAAUAUCAUAGAAGGCAUCUUUUAUGGUUGAAAAAUUACCGAUGGUUAGAGAUGGGCGAUGCGUUG
rnacentral:rRNA from 1 species